AACGCACGAGACCUGCGGACCUGCGGAAGGAUCAUUACCGAGUUAUCCAACUCCCAACCCCUGUGAAUUAUACCUUUAAUUGUUGCUUCGGCGGGACUUCGCGCCCGCCGGGGACCCGAACCUUCUGAAUUUUUAAUAAGUAUCUUCUGAGUGGUUAAAAAAAAAUGAAUCAAAACUUUUAGCAACGGAUCUCU
rnacentral:misc_RNA from 1 species